AUUGAACGCUGGCGGCAGGCCUAACACAUGCAAGUCGAACGAUAACAGGAAGCAUCUUGCUGCUUUUCUGACGAGUCGCGGGCGUGAGAGUUAUGUCUGGGAAACUGCUCGAUGGAGUGGGAUAACUACUGGAAACGGUAUCCAAUACCGCAUAACCUCGCAAGACCAAAGAGGGGGACCUUAUGUCCUCUUUCCAUCGGAUCUGCCCGGAUGGGCUUGGCUAGUAGGUGGGGUAACGACCCACCUAGGCGGCGAACCCUAGCUGGUCUGAGAGAAUGACCGGCGACACUGGAACUGAGACACGGUCCCUACGCCUACGGGAGGCAGCAGUCGGCAAUGUUGCGCAGUAGGCGGGAGCCUGAUGCAGCCAUGCAGCGUGUAUGAAGAAGGCCUUCGGGUUGUAAAGUACGUUCAGCGGGGAGGAAGGUAGUAAAGUUAAGAACUUUGCUCAUUGACGGUACCCGCAGAAGAAGCACCGGCUAACUCCGUG
rnacentral:rRNA from 1 species